AGCGAACGCUGGCGGCAGGCCUAACGCAUACAAGUCGAACGAAGUCUUCGGACUUAGUGGCGGACGGGUGAGUAACACGUGGGAACGUGCCUUUAGGUUCGGAAUAACUCAGGGAAACUUGUGCUAAUACCGAAUGUGCCCUUCGGGGGAAAGAUUUAUCGCCUUUAGAGCGGCCCGCGUCUGAUUAGCUAGUUGGUGAGGUAAAGGCUCACCAAGGCGACGAUCAGUAGCUGGUCUGAGAGGAUGAUCAGCCACAUUGGGACUGAGACACGGCCCAAACUCCUACGGGAGGCAGCAGUGGGGAAUCUUGCGCAAUGGGCGAAAGCCUGACGCAGCCAUGCCGCGUGAAUGAUGAAGGUCUUAGGAUUGUAAAAUUCUUUCACCGGGGACGAUAAUGACGGUACCCGGAGAAGAAGCCCCGGCUAACUUCGUGCCAGCCGCCGCGGUAAAAC
rnacentral:rRNA from 1 species